UACGGAGGGGGCUAGCGUUGUUCGGAAUUACUGGGCGUAAAGCGCACGUAGGCGGCUUUUCAAGUCAGAGGUGAAAGCCCGGGGCUCAACUCCGGAAUUGCCUUUGAAACUGGAUCGCUUGAACACGGGAGAGGUGAGUGGAAUUCCGAGUGGAGAGGUGAAAUUCGUAGAUAUUCGGAGGAACACCAGUGGCGAGGGCGGCUCACUGGACCGUUGUUGACUCUGAGGUGCGAAAGCGUGGGGAGCAAACAGG
rnacentral:rRNA from 1 species